rnacentral:rRNA from 1 species
GCGCGAAAACUUUACACUGCGCGAAAGCGCGAUAAGGGGACCUCGAGUGCGUGCGCAUUGCGUACGCUUUUCAUGUGCCUAAAAAGCACGUGGAAUAAGGGCCGGGCAAGACCGGUGCCAGCCGCCGCGGUAACACCGGCGGCUCAAGUGGUGGCCGCUUUUAUUGGGCUUAAAGGGUCCGUAGCCGGGCCAGUUAGUCCUCUGGGAAUCUUACGGCUUAACCGUAAGGCUGCCAAAGGAUACUGCUGGCCUUGGGACCGGGAGAGGCAAGAGGUACCUCAGGGGUAGGA